ensembl:lncRNA
AUGGCCUCACAACCAGUUCAGAUGGCUUUUGAGCGUCUGAAUGACUCCAAUUACUUGCUGUGGUCGGAACGCAUGCAGGCAGUGCUGCAGAGGGAUCGUCUCUGGCAAGUGGUGAGUAAGUUUCCUGCGAAGCCUGAUGAUGAAGACCUCGAUAAAGACCAAAGAGCAAGGGCCACAAUUGUCUUGGGGCUGGAAGAUUCCCAGUUGCCGUAUGUGAGGGGAAUCAAGACAGCUAGAGGUGUGUGGCAAGCACUUAAAGAACUCCAUGUGCGUGAGACAGCGGUUUCCAAGCUGUUCAUUCGCAAGGCAUUGUACAAGGCAAUGUUACAGCCUGGGGUUACAAUGCAGGAACACCUACACAGUUUACAGUUAAAGUUUGCUGCGCUACAGGAAAGAGACUGUGCGUUAGACCAGCAGGAGAAGGUGGCUAUUAUUUUGAGUUCUCUCCCGGAAAGCUGGGAUAAUUUAGUUUUGUCUCUAGAAGGCAUACAGGAGCGUGAUUUAUCAGUCAGUUACGUUACUGGGCGUUUGAUUGAAGAAUGGCAGAAGAGGCAAGAAAGGGCGUUGGCUGCAGAGGCUUCUACUGGCGGGCGGUUUGGAAGUAGUUCUCAUGCCGUGCCAGAGGUGACGCAAAAGCAGCGUACUGGUGAGGAGUCAGCGUUUGCUGUUAGGCGUUGUUUCCGAUGUGGGUCUUCAGCGCAUCUAAAACGACAAUGUCCGGAGUUGGUCAAGUCUCAGUUGCCGGUGCAGGAGCAGAGACGAGAUCAGCAGCAGCAGCAGCGUAAAAAGAAAUUCUUCAAACGAAAACAGUCGGCUCAGCUGGUGACCGGCGAGGUCAAGAUUGCUGAUGAGAAACAAGCGGUCUGGGUGGUCGAUUCGGGAGCAUCUCGCCACAUCGUGAAUUCAGAUGAAUUGUUUGUUUCCAAGAACUCAGCACAGCGCAGCCAGGUGGCUCUAGCAGACGGAAGUACUUCCGAAGUGAUUUCGGGGGGUGCAGUUUUUGUUCCUUGUCUUUGUGAAUGCCUGCAAAAUGUACUUUGUGUGCCGUCAUUAAGGAGCAAUCUGAUGUCUGUAGAUUGUUUGCUAAAAGCUGGGUUUAAAGUGCAUUUUGAAGGAGACAGUUGCAUUAUUAAGAAGGCUGGUGAGAUUUUAGGCACUGCUAAGUCAGAGGGAGGCUUGUUUUGGCUUAAAGCAGGAUCUCAAGUUGCAGCAGUAGUCAGUAAAUCUCAGCCUGCAGUGAAUAACAAAGCUAUACAUGACAACUGUGUGCACUUAUUGCAUAGGAAAAUGGGGCAUGCUUGCUGGAAAAGUGUACUAAAAAUGUCUGAAUUGGCUGAUGGGGAUAAUUUAAAGAGUUGUAACAAGUACCUUGAUUGUAAUGUUUGUAAAAAGGUUAAAACCCACAGAGUCUCUUACCCCAGAAGUGACAGAGUUAGUGAGUCACCGCUACAGCUGGUUCACAUGGACGUAAUUGGUCCAUUUGCUGUAAGCAGGUGUGGAUCGCGUUUUUCACUAACAAUUGUGGAUGACGCCACACGUUAUUCUUGGGUUUUUCCCAUGAAGAAUAAGGGUGACGUGUUCACUAAGUUUAAAGGCUGGGUGGCAUCUGUGGAAAGAUUUCUGUCCAUUAAACUCAAAAGGAUUCAGACGGACAGAGGUGGUGAAUUUAUGUCAAAUGCCUUUAAAGAUUGGUUACAAAAGCGUGGCAUUGGGCAUAGAAAAACGAACGUUUUUUCCCCAGAGGAGAAUGGCGUUGCAGAGCGAAAAAACAGAUCUUUACAAGAUAUGAUGUUUGCCAUGCUUGAUGAUGCUGAUUUGCCCAUGUCUUAUUGGGGGGAGAGCAUGCUCACCGCGUGUUAUCUCCAAAACAGGCUCUUUCAUCAAACAAUAGGUACAACCCCGUACUUUAAAUUGUUUCAGAAAAAACCCAAAAUUGACCAUUUGCAUGUGUUUGGAUCAAAAGCCUGGGUAUUAAUUCCGAAACAAAUGAGGAAGAAGGGAGAUCCUAAGACCAAACAGUUAGUGUUUGUGGGUUACCAGGAGCUGGGAAAAGGUUUCCGCUUUGCUGAAGGGACAAAUGGCAUUGUGAUCUCCAGGAAUGCCAGUUUUUGUGAACAUAGUGGCUGGGAGAGACUACAUGCCAAUACUGAGGUUUGGUUUGAACCUUCCCAGGAGCUUCAUGACUCUGAAGGUAGACACAGAGAAUCAGAGUCUGAGGGGGAGGAAAGUUCAGAUAAGAGCUCUCAAGAAAGUGGAGUUAGCCAAAGACCAGUUGCUAAGCAACAAAAGAGAGGUCGUAGUUCUGAGGAGGAAAGUGGGUCAGAAGAAAAAUUUUCUCCCAGAAGAUCUAAAAGACAAAACAAAGGAGUGCCUCCAGUGCGUUUUUCCCCAGAUACUGCAAAUGUGUUUAGUGUAAUUGCAGAACCCAAGAGUUUUCAGGAGGUGUUAAAGUUACCAAAAGAGGAGGCAGAGCGCUGGAAACAGGCAAUGGAGGAAGAGAUGUCCUCUCUGAAUGAGCACAAGGUUUUUACACCAGUAGCAGCGCCUGAGGGGGCAAAGAUUGUAGGCUGCAGGUGGGUGUACAAAAGACUUAGGCCCGGUUAG